GGGGCACUGAUGCUCGCUGUGCCCCCCAGAACGCCUUCUGGUUCAGCCUGGGCGCCUGCACCGCGCUGCUGCUGCCUGGCCUCAUCCUGGCCACGCGGCUCGCCAAGUUCUACCGCCGCAUGGACUACGCCGACGUCCACGAGAACGAGGCCCUGGAGAUGUGAGUCCGGCAACCGAAGGGGGGGUGGGCAGGUACUGUGGGACAUCCCCUUAUGCCCCCUCCCGCGCACCCCACAGGUCCGUGCCGCCCCCUGCCUUCAAGAUCCCACGGGUGGAGACGAGGCCGUGAUGCCCCGGUCCUGAGGUCGCGGCCACGGGCGCAGCUGCCCAGGCUGGGUGGCGGGUUGCUCUGGGCCACGGGGUUGCUUUGCCCCAGCGCCGGCAUGCCCGCGCGCAAUAAAGCAGCGUGUGUGUG